rnacentral:misc_RNA from 1 species
GAUAAGAACGCAGCGAAAUGCGAUAAGUAAUGUGAAUUGCAGAAUUCAGUGAAUCAUCGAAUCUUUGAACGCAUCUUGCGCUCCUUGGUAUUCUGAGGAGCAUGCCUGUUUGAGUGUCAUUAAAUUCUCAACUACACUGACUUUGAAUUGGUGUGGCUUGGAUUUGGGGGGAAAAUUGUUGUGGGCUUUUUGUAUAGUCUGCUCCCCUGAAAUUGAUUAGCGGUACCUUUGUGGAACUGUCUACAGGUGUGAUAAUUAUCUACAUCUUAGACAUCUGCUGGAAUGCUGCUUUCUAAACCUUACUUGUAUUGACAAUCUUGACCUCAGAUCAGGUAGGACUACCCGCUGAACUUAAGCAUAUCAAUAAGCGGAGGA